rnacentral:rRNA from 1 species
AUGAGGGUUCUUAAAAUUAAAAAGAUUUGGCGGUAUUGAAGUCUUACUAGAGGAACUUGUAAUUUAAUCGAUAAUCCUCGUUUAAUCUUGCUUUGGCUUGUUUAGUUUGUAUAUCGUCGUUUUAAGAAGGUAUUAUAGAGUUAUNUUCUUUAUANAUUGUUUUGAUAAUUCAGAUCAAGGUGCAGCUUAUGCUGNAGUUAUUAUGAGUUACAUUUAGNUUACUAAUUAUGGAUAGCNUAUGAAAAUUUGGGUUUUGAAGGUGGAUUUAGUAGUAAGGUAAUAUUAAUAAGUUUU